UACGUAGGGUGCGAGCGUUAAUCGGAAUUACUGGGCGUAAAGCGUGCGCAGGCGGCGCGUUAAAGACAGGUGUGAAAGCCCCGAGCUUAACUUGGGAAUUGCGCUUGUGACUGGCGUGCUGGAGUGUGGCAGAGGGAGGUGGAAUUCCACGUGUAGCAGUGAAAUGCGUAGAGAUGUGGAGGAACACCGAUGGCGAAGGCAGCCUCCUGGGCCAGCACUGACGCUCAUGACACGAAAGCGUGGGGAGCAAACAGG
rnacentral:rRNA from 1 species